UUACAAAAAUCAACGAAGCUCGUUCAUUUCCCAGCCAUCUCUGAUCUUGAGUGGUCGUUUUUUUUCGUCUAAGGAAUUUAAUUUAUUUAAAUAUGUUCCUUUUGUUUAAAAUUUCUAUUAAAUGGAUGUUGAGCUGGGACGUUGAUAAUCCUUCCUGAAAAAGUACCUGAUCUGGAUUUAAUCCAAUAUGAAUUUCAAGCUUUCAAUAAACGAGCAAUGAAGCUCCGAAGUUACCAAUCAAGAAGUUAAGAUGCCACUAACAUCCAAUUUCCAUGAUUUCCUAGAUGCAUAGAACUUGAAAAAUAUCGAGUAGAGUCGAGGAUGAGAUGUCUCUUCAAUUUAAUUCUCGCUGGAUUUUAUCAUCAUCAGUUUGAAAUCAGUCGAUUAACUUUUAUGUGACCAAGGUCACUAUUCUAAUAAAAGUUUAAAUGAAUAAUUGUAUUUUAUACAUAAUAUAAUAAAAAAAAAAUUAAAAUUAUUUUAUCUUGUCUUUAUUUCUAUCAUACUUGUCUUCACUGAAGUCGUUAAUAUUAAUAUUGAUGAAAUUUAAAUUGUUAUUAAUUAAAAUAAAAUUAU